AGCAAGAAAGAUCCCAUUGUCAUGCAAAUUGCUCUAGUGAUAAAGCAAUGGAAGAAAAAUGCUGAAUGGGAAAUAUGAAAUGAGCCAAAUAACCUCUCAACAGAAUGUUUUCUCAGUUUUCCAGAAGGUUUAUCAGUCUUUCAAGAUAUUUUAAAUGCUGUGGGGAGGAGAGAGAAUAAAAAGCUGGGGAGGAAGCACUAUUCAUCUGCAAGUUUGUAGGAAAGGAAGAUGGGAAGAGUUCUUCAGCCAGACUGCCUCAGGAGAGCUGGGCACACUUGUCAGCCCAGCACUCAGAGAGAGCAGGCUCUGAGGCAGAGGACCCAGAAUGAGAUUACUCCCUCCACCUCUCAUUAUGCAUGGAAGUUUCCCCACUGACUUCAACAGAGUUGAG